rnacentral:tRNA from 1 species
GCCCAGGUGGUGAAACUGGUAGACACGCUAGAUUCAGGUUCUAGUGUUGGGAACAACAUGGAGGUUCGAGUCCUCUCCUGGGCA